GACGAACGCUGGCGGCGUGCUUAACACAUGCAAGUCGAACGGAAAGGCCUCUUUCGGGGGGUACUCGAGUGGCGAACGGGUGAGUAACACGUGAGUAACCUGCCCUUGACUUUGGGAUAACUUCAGGAAACUGGGGCUAAUACCGGAUAGGAGCUCCUGCUGCAUGGUGGGGGUUGGAAAGUUUCGGCGGUUGGGGAUGGACUCGCGGCUUAUCAGCUUGUUGGUGGGGUAGUGGCUUACCAAGGCUUUGACGGGUAGCCGGCCUGAGAGGGUGACCGGCCACAUUGGGACUGAGAUACGGCCCAGUCUCCUACGGGAGGCAGCAGUGGGGAAUAUUGCACAAUGGGUGGAAGCCUGAUGCAGCAACGCCGUGUGCGGGAUGACGGCCUUCGGGUUGUAAACCGCUUUCGCUCAUGACGAAGCUUUGUGUGACGGUAGUGGGUAAAGAAGCACCGGCUAACUACGUG
rnacentral:rRNA from 1 species